GGUGGUGAAAUACAGAGCAUACAAAACUAAUCUGUGUGAAUCAAUUAAAUAUCAAACCUCAAACCUAUGUAAUAACAUAAUCGUCUUUCGUAUUCGAGUCAAGGUAGAGUAUACAUCGUAUAAAAAUUUACUGAACGUUACAAUUUUUUAAUUUACCAAGCACUACUUGGUAAUGAGUACUAAGUGGAGAAUUAAAUUUGACUAGAAACUUGAUCUGCAAAGUUUCUGUAAAAAGAGAUUUAGCGAAGGAUGAAUGGAGUUGUUGAGAAAAAUAUUAGAUUGGUAUGAUCACUAGUUCCUACAUGCAAAGUUGGUACGACUUCUAACGACGCUCUUUUGUUUCGGCGUCCGCCACGUGUUAAUUAUCUGUGAAUAUCCGGUGAGGUCAUAUGACUGUACAUGGUGGUAAAAUACAGAAUAUAAAACCUGAAUCUGUGUGAAUCAAUUAAAUAUCGAACUCCAAAACCUAUUUAAUAACAGAGGUAGCACAGUAACCGAAAAGGAAAUUAUUCUACAUGCAAAAGAAAUUUCAAGAGCUCUCGUUGCUAGAAAUUUAAGGUGAAUGGAUUUUGUGAUAUUCAGGCAAACUGACUCCUGAGUAGGAUAAAACUUCAUAAAUUCUUCCCUAUGGUGCUUCG